GCAGGGCAGGGCCGGGCCGGGCGGGGCUGCCCCUCGGCGCCGCUCCUGCCGGGCCCGGGGGUCGCGGCGAUGCCGCACGGGAGGGGCGGGCAGUAGCCUUGCUGUGCUAUGCACGGCAGGGGCGGGGGGGCCCAAGCCCUGAGAGGCUCCGCCGGAGGGAGCGGCCCCGCCGGGUGGUACCGGGGGACGCUGCCGCCGGUCCCGGUGUCGGGCGGGGACCCAGGAGAGGAGGUAUCCGGUAACCUGGGUCUGACCCACUGAGGACUCUCGAGAUGAACACCAUGACCUUGACGUGCAUCUAGGAUUUAACAGGGAGCCAGAACGCUGCACGGAGCGCUGAAGUCAUACUGUCACUCUGACAGCUACUUGCAUGACAAGUUCAAGACCCACUGUGUGUUUUGAGGGGUGGGGAGUUCAAUACCUGUUGGUAUUUGGUAUCAUGUUUCUAAGCAGUUCAGACCAGGCCGGUUUUGAAUUUUCUUGGGUUUGCAAGAUGGUUUGAUUGAUAGAAAGAAAGGUUGCAUAAUUCUACCAUUUCACAUGGAUUUCUUGUAGUGUCACUGAUUUUAGCAAUAAACUUCUCAAUGAGUCACAACUAAAAUUUUCAGCCUGGAGACUUCUUACGAGUGGAAUUUAGCCUCCUGUUGUGGUGUGCCACAGAGUGUGCUAAUGCUCCCUCAGCUUGUAGGUGCUGUGGUGCUGUGCCUGUACAGGUGCUCUGGCUGAAGAGCAUCAGUCCUGUCUCAUGAGUGUCUGUGUCACCACAUUCCAGUGUGCUGCCUUCUUUUGAGAGGAUAAAGAGGGGCAGAAUAGGAAUGAUGUGUUAAAGUUCUGGCUUUCUUCCUUUGUGUGCCAGUGAUCAUCCAGCUCAUAAGGAGCAUCCUCAUGGAGAUAUAGGUGGAAUCACAAACUUUUGAGAUUCGGUGCUCAUGAAUGGUAUAUGUGGUAUUCACUGCUGUUACUGCUGUGUGCUUUUGUGCUUUGUGAUAAUCUCACUCCUUCAGGAGUAGCCUGUGUUCCUCUUCUAUGGCAAAAUCAAAUAUUGGAAUCUCUUGUAGGACACCUUUAUCAUGCCUUGGGGGGGACACCUGCCUAACCUUUUUUUUUUUUUUUAAUAGUCUUCAAGAAAAAAGUCAGAUCCUUAUCAAUGCUCUUGGUCCUCUGGAAAGGAGUGUCUCUAGUGCUAGGAAAUUUUCCAUCACCCCCCAGCGUGGUGCUCAUGGCCCAUGUGUGGAUUUCCUUCCCCCUCCAUCCCCAGAGUUUGUUGAUGAAGGCAAGAGGCAGCCUGCAGCUCUCCUCUAGUGGAAGCAGUUGACACUUUUUUUUCAAAGCAGGAAUGAUCAGACAGAUCCAGGAAGAGCCAAAUCCAUCUUUCUAAUCUAUCUUCAGUGUGGGAAUCCCUUCAUGCUGUUUCUUGCUCUCUCUUGGAAAGAUUGACUCAUCACUUUAUGGUUUGUCAGGUAGCACACUCCUCUCACGUGGGUCUUGCUGUGGGCGCAUCUCUUCAAUUGUGUCCUUUCAGUUUUUUGCCUUAGUCUUAUCUGUAUGUGUAUCAAUGUGCAGGCUCCAGGUUUAGGAGCACUUCCUCAUCCUGGGAAGCUCCUAGGUUAGAUUUGUUUGCCAAAGCUCCAUAGUGACCUUCCAGUAACAUUGAUUCACUUUGAAAACAGAGCAGAGGACAGAAAAUAGGCCUUUAUGGAGGAAUAGGUGUUCAUAAAAUCUUCAAGGACUUUGUAAACUUCCUUCAUUUUUAAGGACGUGUGGGCUUCGUUGGUACCUUCUACUUUGAGUAUUGCAAGGCACGGCCGAAUAUUUGUUGGAGUGAUUGUGGAAGCAAUUGCUAAGAAACUCUUUUAGCUCUGCUGGUUUACUGAGCAAGAUACAGAGUAGAUAUAACCAGUGCUUCCCUCCCUUUCUUCCAUCAAAGAUAACAAAAAAGUGGGUAUUCCUCUGAAACAUCAUGAAAUGCCCUUAAAUGUCAUUGUGGGACACAAUCCCAUUGGAAUAAACGUUAAUAUUUCUUUGAGAGGGAGGAAUAAGGAAGGCCAGCUAUAAGCCUUUAGCACCUCCCUCCCUAGUCCAGAGGAAGAGUGGGAGAAUCUGUUGGGUAUUUGUUCAAACUUUAGGAAUGAGAGGUGAGGGAGAUGAUGUGGCUUUUACAUGGUGCAUCUGAAAAUUGACACUCCCUUGCAUGUAAGUGUUUGCCCAGCUAUGAACGGGACAGUGGCAAUCCUUGUUGGUCAGGCCAAUCCAUGGUCUUCUCCACAAAAGUGCCCAGUGCCUGUGGAUCACACUGUGGAGAGCCACAGCAGUUAUCUCCAAAAAUAUGGAAAAUAAUCUAGCAAUGGCAAUGUGUCUUGGACAUUAAUGUAUCAAGUGAUUUUUCACAUGAACUUUCCUGUUUUUUUUGGAGACUGGGGGAUACAUCAAUAUAUUAGACUCAACAGGGAAAAUAUAAAAUUGCCACAGUAGGUUUUUUCAUGGGAUUCACAAUCCCUUGGUCCCUUUUGGUCUUACCCAGUCCCACACUGUUUUCUGUUGAGCCUUCUCCACUACUGAAGAGCUUCACACAUCGGAAAGGAUCAAUUUUUUGUAGUUGAGAAGGAAGAUGUUGACAGUGUGAUGGACUGUAGAGCUAAUCAAACAAGAUGUGUUUGGAAACCCUUUCCUUUUGGUGUCAAGCUGUGUCAUCUCUAAUCUGAUGAACAAUAUGAAAGGAACAAACUGGAUCCUGGGCUGGCUCCAAACAGAUAGGUGCAAGGGAGAGCAGGGAAUGCCUGUGGGCACAGAUUUCCUCUUAGAAGAAAUGAGGCAUCCCAACCUUCAGAAAGAGAUCUAGUGUCAGCUGUGGCAGAUGGAAGUGGAUUCCUCUCUGUCUGUGCAGCAGGAGAUGUUGUCAGGCCCACUGUCAGCCCAGGAGCUGCCUGGGUACAAAGCUUUGGUGGCCUCCCAGUCAGACAGGAAAAGACAAAGGGAGCACUGAUGUCUGGUGAAAAGGUUUUGAUUACAGGAUCAUAUGUUCAGUUGCUCAGGCCAAACUCCUGCAUUGCUCCAGUUCUUUACCAGUGAGCAAGAGAUGAUGCUCAAGGAAAGGCUAAGAAGAUGGGCACACUGUGCUUGCCCUGGUUACACCCCUUAUCACCUUGGUGGUGCAGGAUGCAGCUUUUCACCCUUUUUAUUUAUUGACCUGAAUAAUUUUUCAUGUACACAAGGUGUGACUUCUGUACUAAGAGCACUCUGUUGUGAAACCUAGCUCUGAAUUCUUAUGUGUUUUCCUCUGUUUUAGCCAGCUACUAGUUUUAGAGAAACUUUAGUUUUAUCCUGGAACAUCCUAAUUUCCAAGGCCUUUGGCCUGAUACCACACAUGUGCUUGUGAGUCUUCCUAAAAGCACCUUGCCUAUCCUAAUAGAUCUAUAAAUCUGGACUUCUCCCUUGUGCCUGCCACUUAGUUUAAUUUUUAAUCUUCAGUCUUCUAAACAUGUCUGUUGUGGAAGACUGAUUUUCCCGAUCCUCUGCAGAGCUCUUCAAAAUAAACAGCAGCCAAAAAUCCUUCAUAUCUUCUUUCUGAUCUUUCCUUCAGUCUUUCUAGUUCUUUUCUGUCCAUCAUUUAGCAGACUGGGCUGGGUGGCCUCUCAUCCCAUAUGGGUAGAAAAUAUGUAGAUUUUAUCCAUAAGAAUUCACUUAAUUUCUUCUACAUCAUCAGGAAAAAACAUCACUUGGAAUAAUUUGUACUGUUUUUGUCUUUUGCAUACAUUUCUAUUCUAAAAACCUUCUGGUUUUAGAAGUAAGUCAGAAUUAAAAUGAAGUAGAAGUUGCACUGGCCAAAGAAUUUUUUUUCUUUUGUUUUCUUUUUUUUUUUCUUUUUUAUAAAGGUGAUACAUUGCUGUUCAACAAAGUGGGAAUUAUUUGUAAGUUAUAUUUAAAAUUUCAUCUUGGUAAUAUAUCCUGAUCUGCAUGAGGAAAGUGAAGUUCCCCCUUGCCUCCUGUUUCCUAAAGGCACAGGCCAUCUGUUCUCACAUGACAAAUCACUGUUGCUGCUUUAUUCUGGUCUGAUGGGGUGGCUUUACUAUUACAUUUUUUCCAUUUAGCCUUGAUACAAAAUAAUUUCUUUAUCUCCUGUGAGUCUGUCUGUUUAUUUUGUAGUAUGUAGUACUCCUUCUCCCCUGGAGUGACCUGGCCUUUUUCUGUGUACCUUUUCCAUGGAGCACUGGAGAAUGUGCCUGGGUAGCUCCAUGUUCAUCCUUGAAUCCAUUCAUCCUUGUGCCCUACCAUACCUCUGAAACCUGUUGCAUCUCUUUGUUUUUUUGGGUUCUGUUUAAAUACCUUAUAAUCCUGAAACUCUUCUUUCUCUGUGUGUGUGUGAUGUUUCUUCUAAAAUUCAUCCCAUUUUUUCCCUGAACUUGUAGCUCUUCAUGAAAAUCUGUCUCCCAGCACCUGCUGUGCCACUCCUACCCCAGACUGAUCUAUAGCUUCUUGACAUGCAGCUUAAAUUCUUGGUACCUGUUCUGCUCACUGGAACAAGGGUAUGGUGUAGCUGUGCAGCACUUUCACCUUCACGGAGGCAUCAGCACAGUGCUUCUCUUGAUUGGACACUCUAAUAAAUUGUCUGGCUUGUUUCCCUCAUUUCAUGAACAUUACUUGUUUGCUUCCUGUAGCACCUCAGCCAGAGAAUAGAAGUCACCUUUGUGGUGACAUUGUAUUGGGAAACUUAGACUUUGUGGUCUAAUUAUGUCUUGAAUUAUUUAAACAGAAUAUAGCUGCAUUAGACUUCUAAAAUUUACUAGUUUAGGAGUUGUGCAAGUAAUUUAUUGAAACUAACUGAUUUCUUUACAUUUUGUUAUCCUUG